AAAUUGGUGAUUUAUAAUAACUUAGCAAAUCGCAAAGUGAAAACAGGCGAUAAAUCAUUCAAGUUUCUGACCUAUCAGCUUUCGACGGUAUGGUAUUGGCUUACCGUGGCAGUGACGGUUAACGGGGGAUUAGGGUUCGAUUCCGGAGAGGGAGCCUGAGAAACGGCUACCACAUCUAAGGAAGGCAGCAGGCGCGCAAAUUACCCAAUUCUAACAGUUUGAGAGAGGUAGUAACAAGAAAUAACAAUACAAGGCAGUUAAAAUGCUUUGUAAUUGGAAUGAUAGAAAUUUAAACCCUUUUUAAAGUAUCAAUUGGAGGGCAAGUCUGGUGCCAGCAGCCGCGGUAAUUCCAGCUCCAAUAGCGUAUAUUAAAAUUGUUGCAGUUAAAAAGCUCGUAGUUGAAGUUCUGCUGAAAGUAACCGGUCUGCUUUUAAUAAAAGUGGUAUCUUGGUAUGUAUUUAGCAAUGAUGUCCUUUGAAGUGUUUUUUACUUUAUUGUAAUAAAGCAUAUUCAGGACUUUUACUUUGAGAAAAUUAAAGGUUCUAGCAGGCU
rnacentral:rRNA from 1 species